rnacentral:rRNA from 1 species
GACACGGCUGGCGGCGUGCCUAACACAUGCAAGUCGAGCGAUGAAGUUCUUCGGAACGGAUUAGCGGCGGACGGGUGAGUAACGCGCGAGCAAUCUGCCUUACACAAAGGGAUAGCCUCGGGAAACUGGGAUUAAUACCAUAUGACACUUGGUAAUCGCAUGAGGACCAAGUCAAAGAUUUUAUCGGUGUAAGAUGAGCUCGCGUCUGAUUAGCUAGUUGGUGGGGUAAAGGCCUACCAAGGCGACGAUCAGUAGCCGGCCUGAGAGGGUGAACGGCCACACUGGAACUGAGACACGGUCCAGACUCCUACGGGAGGCAGCAGUGGGGAAUAUUGCACAAUGGGCGCAAGCCUGAUGCAGCGACGCCGCGUGAGCGAAGAAGGUUUUCGGAUCGUAAAGCUCUGUCCUCUGGGAAGAAAAAAAUGACGGUACCAGAGGAGGGAGCCCCGGCUAACUACGUG